rnacentral:rRNA from 1 species
UACGGGGGGGGCAAGCGUUGUUCGGAAUUACUGGGCGUAAAGCGAACGUAGGCGGUGUUCCAUGUCAGAGGUGAAAGCCUGGGGCUCAACUCCAGAAUUGCCUUUGAAACGGGAACGCUUGAGUCCGAGAGAGGAUGGCGGAAUUCCUAGUGUAGAGGUGAAAUUCGUAGAUAUUAGGAAGAACACCAGUGGCGAGGGCGGCCAUCUGGCUCGGUACUGACGCUCAGGUUCGAAAGCGUGGGGAGCAAACAGG